CCAUGAUUGCUGGGAUCUUGUGUGAAUGGGCCUGCUCUUCAGUGACGGUCCUAUGUCUUCUUCGCGUGUUGAUGGAAUUUGUGAGGGAGUGAAACCCUAGGUAUUCGCAUCGCACGAACGACCCGAUCCCCUCUCCCUUAGCCGCCAUCUGUUUUCUUCCCUCGGCACGCGCGUUCAUCCCUCCUCCCUCUCCUCCGCCGCCAUUGUUCCCUCUAGUGCUCUCACCCGCUACCACUCCUUGUUGCAGCUGUGCCAGGGGAUAACCACGGUCGCGCUGCCGGCAGGAGCACGAUAUCCGCGGCGUUAUACCGCUGCCUCCUGUCGGAGGAAGCAACAGGAGAGACAGGAUAUAAGAGGGGGAGAGAAGAAAGGAGAGGGGGAGAAAGAGAGAUGAAAGAGCAGAGGGAAGUGUGGCGGCUGACGGGAGAGGGUCACCGACCGGCGUUGUCAGCCUACGCCGGUGAGGUCGGAUGCAACCUGGCGGUUGGCGGCGGCUCGAUCCGCUCCUGGAUCGGGAGCUGCGAGGAGGCUGGUGCUUGGGCGCGAGGCACGGGAGUCUGCACUCCACCUCAUCCUCGUUGUGCGGAUGGCAGCAUCAGCAGGUGGGAGACGGACAGUGGCAUCAGCUAGAGGCCUCAGCAGGUGGCCGAUGACACCAACAGCUGGUGCUAUACCCAUGGAUUCCGGCACAGCUCGAAACACUCAGGUGGGCAAUUAGAAACACCUCUACUUAUAUAUUUCGGGACUGCUAGAUGGAUAAAUCUUGAUUUUAAUUCUUUUGCUCGUGAUGUGAUUUUGCUAGGACGAAUUAAUCCAGGGUGGAGUAGCAGAUGCGUGUAGGUUUACCUAGAGCUUGAGUAGAUACACAUUAAUCCAGGGUGGAGUAGCAGAUGUGUGCAGGUUUACCUAGGGCUUGAGUAUAUACACACAUUCGGUUCAUACUUAAUGUACACCUAAAGGCGUUUCAACCUUUUCCAGGCAUGCUACAUGAAAGGUACGAACAUACAACAUGAGCUGCCAUGGAAGAUGUAUUUCCAUCUAGCUCCUUUACUGGUUUGUAUCAAGUGAUGAAGAUGAUAUACCUUUAUUUGAUUGACACGAGUACUGACCUGUGUUGGAUUUCAGCUUUAUAAACUUGGCUUUUUAGUGGUUAAUUUUGCUACAUCGCGUGCUUAUUUUCCAUGCUUCUGUAUUCGGAAGACUGAAUAAAAGGAACAUGAUGAAAUACAAGUAGCCAAGUGCGUGGAAAUUGGCCUUCCAGAACUCAUCCUAAUGGUCGCGUUUUCUCAGGUAUUGUUUAAAUGGUCAUGAAUGAGGUGAUGUUGUACUUAUCAUGUUUGUUUCCUGGACAAUAUUUGCAUCAUGUUUUUCAUUCUAGAAAGGGUGUCUUUCGCCGGUUUUCUAUUCUUUUCACUGUUUCAAUCGUGUGACUCUACACAUGUAUCCUCGCAAUUAGUGGAACCUAAAAGAAUGAAGCGGCGGCUCGAUCUGAGCUGCUAUAUCUGAUUGUAUUUUAGUAAGACCCUGCAAUUUUAUCGACCAUGUAAAUUGAUUGCUUGAGGAAUGUGAGAUUGUGUCCUUAGUUUGUACAUCCAUGUUCUUGCACAGUCUUCAGAUUUCGGUCUUCUAUGCAUGUCUUCUCGAUUUUUCGAAAGCGAGACAUUUAUUUAUGCAGGUUUCUCCAUGCCAUCGGCAGCAGCCGUAAGCAUAGGGGCAGCGGUCAUGGUCGCCCGAGGAGCACAACUUCAUGGGGGCUGGUCCUGCUGCCGCCAAAGCAUAGUGGAGGAGGUCGAUGCAGGGUUGAGGAGGGGCAUGGGCUAAGAGUGGUGGAAGAAAGGAAGGAUGAUGUUUUGGGUGUGUACACAUGUAUAGCACUAGCAUUUUCAGAUGAUUGUGAAGCUUAUGGAAGAGGCAUAUCUGAAUGCUUGUUUUGUGCCUUUCUCGCUCUAAACAUGGUAACCCCUAUUCUUACAUACAAGAAGGUGCUCUUGAUUACUUCUUGGAAAAUGAUCGAUUGAUUAUUUUCUUAUGACACAUAUUAUAGUUUACAUGGAACUAAAAAGAACAUUGGUUUUCUGAGAAAAUAAGAUUAGGGAAGUCACACAUGUUGUUUAAAUCAAGUAAGGUAGCAUAUAUGUAGCUUUACUUGCUA